GAAAUGCGAUAAGUAAUGUGAAUUGCAGAAUUCAGUGAAUCAUCGAAUCUUUGAACGCACAUUGCGCCCGCCAGUAUUCUGGCGGGCAUGCCUGUCCGAGCGUCAUUUCAACCAUCAAGCCCCCGGGCUUGUGUUGGGGACCUGCGGCUGCCCGCAGGCCCUGAAAACCAGUGGCGGGCUCGCUGUCACACCGAGCGUAGUAGCAAUCACCUCGCUCAGGGCGUGCUGCGGGUCCCGGCCGUCUUGCCAUAAAAGCCCAAACUUUUUUGUUUUCUAUGGUUGACCUCGGAUCAGGUAGGAAUACCCGCUGAACUUAAGC
rnacentral:misc_RNA from 1 species